GGAUGCAAUGGAUGCCGCAACUGCUGAAAAACGUGCUGCUGAAAUUUUGUUUGGUCUUGGUUUUACCAAAGAGAUGCAAGCAAAGAAAACCCGGGACUUCUCCGGUGGAUGGCGUAUGAGGAUUGCUUUAGCACGUGCCCUGUUCAUGAACCCAACUCUUUUGUUGCUUGAUGAACCCACUAAUCAUCUUGGUGAGCUGAUUUUGAAACUAGUUCAGUCGUAGUUGCUUUUCAGCUUGAUUCUUUUUCUAUUGCUUGUACUUUUCUUUCUCUCUUAGAUUGACUAUAGAAUUUUAGUUUAGUUACAGCUACUUGCACAACUCCUUGAAAUUACAUGACAUAUAUGAUAUUCUCACCAUCUCACAUUCUAAUGUGGCCCAUUAAACUUCCCAUAAACAAGAUCUUCAAUCUGUGAUAAUAACUUGUGGAAUUCUUUAGCUGUAUUUGCUGUUGUGUACAUGGCAACUACUUUGUAAGUUGGUAGGCAUUGGUGGGGUUUGAUACAUAUUUGCAUUACUGUAAUGCCUAUAUGUAAUAUAUUUAAGUUACAUUGAGUAAAUAUCUUGUCAAUAUGAAUGGGUAAGAUAUUGAAUCACAAAAUAUCUGUAAGCAUACUGUUUGUCAUGUGAAAGGCACAAACACUUAAAGCACCUUGUCUAGAAGCCUUAGAAACUAAAAGCUUUGGGCGAAGUGGAUGUGCUGGAUCCGGUUUGUUCACUAGUUUUCUUAAGACCUUUUCCUCGCAGUACAUGUUGCCACUGAGAAACUCUUUAGUUUAAUAUAUUACCGAUUCCUCUUGAAUGGUAACUCACCAAGGGUGAUGUGUGUACUUAUUUAAUGUUUGUUUUAGAUUGGUAUAUUAUUGCUCAAUCUAUUACAUGGUUUAAGUUGUGCAUUCAGAUCCCUUUAGUUGAAGAUUUUCUGGCGAGUGCGAACCUGUCUUUUUAUCUUUUAGAAAUGUUGCUAAUAUGAGCCCUUGACCCUGUUUUAUAUCAACAGUUGCAUCUGUUAUAGUUCUUGGACCAUUGUUCAAAUCAAUUUUUUUACAACAUUUGAUGUACUAUUCUGAUGAGUUGCUAUAAUCUAUAUACAGAUUUAGAAGCUUGUGUCUGGCUGGAGGAGAUGCUCAAGAAAUUUGAUCGAAUUUUGGUUGUGGUUUCUCACUCCCAGGACUUCCUGAAUGGUGUCUGUACAAACAUCAUACACAUGCAGAACAAACAGUUGAAAAUGUAUACUGGAAACUUUGACCAAUAUGUUCAAACCCGUUCAGAUCAUGAGGAGAACCAGAUGAAGCAGUACAAGUGGGAGCAAGAUCAGAUUGCUAAUAUGAAGGAGUAUAUUGCUAGAUUUGGACAUGGGUCAGCCAAAUUAGCUCGCCAGGCACAGAGCAAGGAGAAAACUUUGGCAAAGAUGGAACGUGGUGGGCUCACACAAAAAGUGUCUAGGGAUCAGGUUCUGGUGUUUAGAUUUGUUGAUGUAGGAAAACUCCCGCCACCAGUUUUACAGUUUGUUGAAGUUUCAUUUGGCUACACCCCAGAUAACCUCAUCUACAAGAACAUUGACUUUGGGGUGGACCUUGACUCAAGGAUAGCUUUGGUUGGGCCCAAUGGUGCUGGGAAGAGUACACUCCUAAAGCUGAUGACAGGUGAUUUGGUUCCGAAUGAGGGCAUGGUACGUCGACACAAUCACUUGCGCAUAGCACAAUAUCACCAGCACUUGACUGAGAAACUUGACUUGGAGCUGUCGGCUCUUGUUUUUAUGAUAAGAGAGUUCCCAGGUAAUGAGGAAGAGAAGAUGAGGUCAGCAAUCGGGAGGUUUGGACUAACAGGUAAAGCUCAGGUGAUGCCAAU
rnacentral:lncRNA from 1 species